CCCCCCCCCCCCCCCCCCCCCCCCCCCCCCCCCCCCCCCCCCCCCCCCCCCCCCCCCCCCCCCCCCGCUGCCGAGCCUUCCGCCGCCCGCCGGGCCCGGCGCUCCCGGCUGUGCCCCUUCUCCCCGUUGUUUGCCUACGAAAUCCCUUCCUUCGACACCCAACCUUCGCCCCCCUCUUCCUGUCUCCGCGCCAGGAAAACUGAGGCUUGCCCAGCAGGCCGAGGCAGGGGCUGCCAUUGCUGCCUUUGCCAAAGCCACCCCAGUGUGCCGUGACACCAAAACUAACCAGGAAAAGGCCGAAAUUGUGGAUUAUGGACUUCUAGCGAAUCAGGGCUGCUGCUUGCUUCCCAGGAUGCAGAGCCAUUUGGGAAUAGCAAAGCUGUGCUUUCAACUCUUCCCCGUCGAAGUUAAAGGAAAGACCAUUGUUACUACAGGAAAUUAAUUCUUCAAGUCUAAUAAAGCAAGGGAUACCUUGCACAGGUUGGCGGAUUUCCUGCCCUUUGCAGGGAAAGCAGUGAGAAUUGAAGGCUGCUGCGCAUCUCAUGCUGUAUCCUUCAGCAUCCCACCCCCUCCAAAGCCUGUGCUUGCUUAGCCACAAGUUUCCAAAACUGUAAUUUUCUCACUAAUCUAUUCCUCAGGCUUAGCAGCAUUCCCAUGUCUAAGAAGUUUGGCAGUGCUUUUGGUGGUUUCUAAUUUAAAAUUAAAAAAUUAAGCUGGUCCACAUCGUUGAUUAGAAGUCAAAACUGCCAGCACAUGUCACUGGUCUCAUAGGCCUCUAACAGGCUCCUAAAGAUUUAACCUGUGAAACGUUCAUCAAAGAAGAAUUCAGAAGAAAUUGAAAUCAUAAGCCUGUUAAGAAGGCCUGUGUUAACGUAGUUUCAGUAGAAUUCAUUGCUCACUAUGCACUCACUAAAUUUUUAGCAGUGCAGUGGGCUGCAGUUCAGCAGACCAAGUUGCUGUAUAGCAGCUAUGUAUGUGAGAUUUAAGGAGCCAUUCCCUUAUAUUUUCUCCAUUCUGUUUUCUCCGAAUGUUUUGCAACACACUUCCAUUUUUUUUCCCCAAUAAAUUGUGCUCACACCUAAGCAAUGAGGGAAAAUAUAGCUACAGUAUGCUUCAAGAUGCUUAAAUGCUUAAAGAUUUUUAAUGGUAGCUCAAGAGGGAAUAAAGAAAAAGUGUGCCUUUCUUCUCAGUGUUUAAAUACAAUGUAAAGUGGUAGCAUGUGAUACAAAUUAUUAUAACCUUCUUCUCAACAACUCUCCACCUACUCCAGCACUACCCCAUCUGUUAAAUUCCUCUUGCCACUAAUAUUACUAGCCAGUGAUUAAAUAGCCAAAGUGAAAGAACUGGUUUGGGCAGGGAGUGAUGUGUAGCAACAACUACCAAACAUAAAUUCUUUAUUUCACAUUGUGUGGACUCAAAUGCAGGAUUUAAAAAGCAAACAAACAAAAGACUGAAACUUUAGGUCUCAAGGAAAAAAAAUUCCUCCUGACUUUAGUGAGGAUUUUAUCUGAUUCAAGUGUUGAAUCAACUAGCAUACACUCCAAACCCCACAGAAAUCUAGAGUGUUUAAACACUUUGAUGAAUCAGGAGUAAGGAAAUGAGCAAGGACUUCAGGACUGGCUCAGAGGGAUCAGGACAGGAAACUCUAAACUAUGGAAUUAAUUUCUUUAAUGUUGUGCCAUUUACCUAUCAUAGUUUAUGAUUCAGUAGUUCCAGUUUAAGCAGUACACAGUAAUAAAAGUUAAAUUGGGACUUUCAGUUUAAACAUUGACCUCAGUAUCCUCUGAUGUCGUGAACAACAGCCUGAAGAAAGUCAGGCACAGUACUCUUUUAAACACAGUUAUGUUAUUUAGGUUAAUAACCAUAGAAGAUUUUUAGUUAUGCUGUAGACCACAUUUUCCGUAUGGUGAGGAAAGAUUGCAAACCAAGAAACAAGACUGUGCAAGGUAAUAAAUAUUUAUGAAUAAAGAAAUAUUGUGUAUCAUGGUAGAGAGUAUUGCGUUCUCAAAAACUUU
ensembl:lncRNA